CCUACGGGUGGCAGCAGUGGGGGAUAUUGCACAAUGGGGGAAACCCUGAUGCAGCGACGCCGCGUGGGCGAAGAAGUAUUUCGGUAUGUAAAGCCCUAUCAGCAGGGAAGAAGAAAUGACGGUACCUGAGUAAGCAGCACCGGCUAAAUACGUGCCAGCAGCCGCGGUAAUACGUAUGGUGCAAGCGUUAUCCGGAGUUACUGGGUGUAAAGGGAGCGUAGACGGUGUGGCAAGUCUGAAGUGAAAGCCCGGGGCUCAACCCCGGGACUGCUUUGGAAACUGUCAUGCUGGAGUGCUGGAGAGGUAAGCGGAAUUCCUAGUGUAGCGGUGAAAUGCGUAGAUAUUAGGAGGAACACCAGUGGCGAAGGCGGCUUACUGGACAGUAACUGACGUUGAGGCUCGAAAGCGUGGGGAGCAAACAGGAUUAGAUACCCCAGUAGUC
rnacentral:rRNA from 1 species